rnacentral:rRNA from 1 species
UACGAAGGGGGCUAGCGUUGCUCGGAAUUACUGGGCGUAAAGGGCGCGUAGGCGGAUAGUUUAGUCAGAGGUGAAAGCCCAGGGCUCAACCUUGGAAUUGCCUUUGAUACUGGCUGUCUUGAGUACGGGAGAGGUGAGUGGAACUCCGAGUGUAGAGGUGAAAUUCGUAGAUAUUCGGAAGAACACCAGUGGCGAAGGCGACUCACUGGCCCGUUACUGACGCUGCGGCGCGAAAGCGUGGGGAGCAAACAGG